rnacentral:rRNA from 1 species
GAUGAACGCUAGCGGCAGGCUUAACACAUGCAAGUCGAGGGGUAUUGGUUUUCGGACCAAGAGACCGGCGCACGGGUGCGUAACGCGUAUGCAAUCUACCUUUUGCAGAGGGAUAGCCCCAGAGAAAUUUGGAUUAAUACCUCAUAGUAUAGUACUUUGGCAUCAAGGAACUAUUAAAGUCACAACGGCAAAGAUGAGCAUGCGUCCCAUUAGCUAGUUGGUAAGGUAACGGCUUACCAAGGCUACGAUGGGUAGGGGUUCUGAGAGGGAGAUCCCCCCACACUGGUACUGAGACACGGACCAGACUCCUACGGGAGGCAGCAGUGAGGAAUAUUGGACAAUGGGCGCAAGCCUGAUCCAGCCAUGCCGCGUGCAGGAUGACGGUCCUAUGGAUUGUAAACUGCUUUUAUACAGGAAGAAACACUCCGACGUGUCGGAGCUUGACGGUACUGUAAGAAUAAGGAUCGGCUAAACUCCGUGCCAGCAGCCG